UUGUAGUCUGUUAUGUUAUAGAAAUGGGCUGAGAUCUAGGUGUUAUGUGUUGUAGUCUGUUAUGUUAUAGAAAUGGUCUGAGAUCUAGGUGUUAUGUGUUGUAGUCUGUUAUAGAAAUGGGCUGAGAUCUAGGCGUUAUGUGUUGUAGUCUGUUAUGUUAUAGAAAUGGGCUGAGAUCUAGGUGUUAUGUGUUGUAGUCUGUUAUGUUAUAGAAAUGGGCUGAGAUCUAGGUGUUAUGUGUUGUAGUCUGUUAUGUUAUAGAAAUGGGCUGAGAUCUAGGUGUUAUGUGUUGUAGUCUGUUAUUUUAUAGAAAUGGGCUGAGAUCUAGGCGUUAUGUGUUGUAGUCUGUUAUGUUAUAGAAAUGGGCUGAGAUCUAGGUGUUAUGUGUUGUAGUCUGUUAUUUUAUAGAAAUGGGUUGAGAUCUAGGUGUUAUGUGUUGUAGCCUGUUAUAGAAAUGGGCUGAGAUCUAGGCGUUAUGUGUUGUAGUCUGUUAUUUUAUAGAAAUGGGUUGAGAUCUAGGUGUUAUGUGUUGUAGCCUGUUAUAGAAAUGGGCUGAGAUCUAGGUGUUAUGUGUUGUAGUCUGUUAUGUUAUAGAAAUGGGCUGAGAUCUAGGCGUUAUGUGUUGUAGUCUGUUAUGUUAUAGAAAUGGGUUGAGAUCUAGGUGUUAUGUGUUAUUGUAUGUUAUAGAAAUGGGCUGAGAUCUAGGCGUUAUGUGUUGUAGUCUGUUAUGUUAUAGAAAUGGGCUGAGAUCUAGGCGUUAUGUGUUAUUGUAUGUUAUAGAAAUGGGUUGAGAUCUAGGCGUGAUGUAAUAGGUGUGGCUGCACUACCACUUCAUUGGGGUUAUUGAUAUCAACACUG